rnacentral:rRNA from 1 species
AUGGAGGGGACGCCGCAGCUGGAGACCGGCGGCGGCGAGUACACGCAGGACGGCACGACGGACCUCUGCGGCAACCCGGUCAUCCGAUCCAAUCGAGGAGGAUGGAAAGCAUGCUCCUUCGUUCUUGUGUACGAGGUGUUCGAGCGGAUGGCGCCCUAUGGAAUCGCGUCCAACCUGGUGCUGUACCUGACGAGGGAGCUGCACCAGGGCACGGUGCGCUCCGCCAACAACGUCACCAACUGGGCCGGCACCAGCCUCAUCACGCCCGUCCUCGGCGCCUACAUCGCCGACGCCCACCUCGGACGCUACCGCACCUUCAUGGCCGCCUCCGCCAUCUACCUUCUCGGAAUGUGCCUGCUGACCAUGGCCGUGUCGCUGCCGCCGCUGAAGCCGCUGGCGUGCGGCACCGGCACGGCGGACCCGACCUGCGAGCGCAAGGCGUCGAGCCUGCAGCUGGGCGUGUUCUUUCUGGCCCUGUACACCCUCGCCGUCGGCACAGGCGGCACCAAGCCCAACAUCUCCACCAUCGGCGCCGACCAGUUCGACAAGCACGAGCCGAGGGAGCGCCGGCAGAAGCUCUCCUUCUUCAACUGGUGGAUGUUCAGCAUCUUCCUAGGCACGCUCUUCGCCAACACCGUCCUCGUCUACAUCCAGGACAAGAUCGGCUGGACCGUCGGCUACGCGCUCCCCACCAUCGGCCUCGCCGUCUCCAUCGCCGUGUUCACCGCCGGAACGCCCCUGUACCGCCACAAGCCGACCUCACCCGAGAGCUCCCUCGCCAAGAUGGCCGGGGUCAUCGUCACCGCCGUCCGCAAGUGCCGCGUCACGGCGCCCGCGGACCCGCGCGACCUGCACGAGCUCGACCCGGACCAAUACGACAGGAAAAAGACGUCCCCGCUGCCCCACACGCCGACUUUCAGUGUGCUGAGCAAAGCGGCGGUGAGGACCGGGGCCGGGAGCACGUCGCGGUGGUCGCUGAGCACGGUGACGCAGGUGGAGGAGACGAAGCAGAUGCUCAAGAUGCUUCCCGUGCUGUUCAUCACGUUCGUGCCGAGCGCGAUGCUGGCCCAGAUCAACACGCUGUUCGUGAAGCAGGGCACGACGCUGGAGCGGCGCGUCGGCGGCUUCGACAUCCCGCCGGCGAGCCUGCAGGGGUUCGUGACCGUCUCCAUGCUCGUCUCCGUCGUGAUCUACGACCGCCUCUUCGUGCCCUGCAUGCGGCGCCUGACAAAGAACCCGCGGGGCAUCUCGCUGCUCCAGCGGAUGGGCGUCGGGCUCGUCCUCCACAUCGCGAUCAUGGUGAUCGCGUCGGCGACCGAGCGGCACCGCCUGGCCGUGGCGCGCGAGAACGGCGUGCUCGACAGCAGGGGCACGAUGGUCCGGCUCUCCAUCUUCGUGCUGCUCCCGCAGUUCGUGCUCAUGGGCGUCGCCGACGCCUUCCUGAAGGUGGCCAAGAUCGAGUUCUUCUAUGACCAGGCGCCCGAGGGGAUGAAGAGCCUCGGCACGUCCUACGCCAUGACCAGCCUCGGCGUCGGCAACUUCCUCAGCAGCUUCCUGCUGUCGACGGUGUCGCGCGUCACGCGACGGAGCGGAAGAGGACAUGGAGGCUGGAUCCAGAACAACCUCAACGCCUCGCGGCUGGACCUCUACUACGCCUUCGCCGUGCUUAACUGUGCUAACCUCCUCGUCUUCUUCGCCGUGUGCCGGAUGUACGUGUACAACGCCGACAGCGCUGACGGUGGCAAGGAGAAGCAGGGGAGGCCAGGAAUCGUGAAGGAGCCAAUGAUAAUACUCCCUCCGUUCCAAAAUAGAUGA